AUUGAACGCUGGCGGCAUGCCUUACACAUGCAAGUCGAACGGCAGCGGACCUUCGGGUGCCGGCGAGUGGCGAACGGGUGAGUAAUAUAUCGGAACGUACCUUUCAGUGGGGGGAUAACGUAGCGAAAGUUACGCUAAUACCGCAUAUUCUGUGAGCAGGAAAGCAGGGGAUCGCAAGACCUUGCGCUGAUUGAGCGGCCGAUAUCAGAUUAGCUAGUUGGUGAGGUAAAGGCUCACCAAGGCGACGAUCUGUAGCGGGUCUGAGAGGAUGAUCCGCCACACUGGAACUGAGACACGGUCCAGACUCCUACGGGAGGCAGCAGUGGGAAUUUGGACAAUGGGCGCAAGCCUGAUCCAGCCAUGCCGCGUGAGUGAAGAAGGCCUCGGUGUAAGAC
rnacentral:rRNA from 1 species